GAACGAUAUCGGCGACGAGCCUUUUUAACACGGUAGGAGGCAGAGAUUAGGAGAUCCAAAUAAAAAACCUAAAGGAAGUUCGGGUUCUUCGAUUCAAAUUUCAAUAUCCGUGAACGAGCCCUUCGAUUACUAUCUCUCUGUCGGACCAACAUCUGCGGGGCAAACGUUUUCUCGGACCACUCCUUUGAUUCAAUAUCGGAAACUCUUCCGAGUUUUAUUCACAGCAACAAGUAAUGGAGGAUGUGAAACAUAAAUCCAGGAAGGAGGAUACAGAGAGGAAGGAGGAAUCCAGGAAAAAACAACGUGACCGUGGUCGUGAGAGAGAAAGAGAUAAGGAGAGGAACGGAGAGAGGCACAAGGACAGGGAGAAGAGAGACAGGGAAAGCAGGCGUUCUCAGAGAGAGAGGAGUAGUGAUUCUGAUGAGGUACAGGAGAGGGAGAGGGAGAAGGAGAAGGAGAAGCACAGAGACAGGGACAAGGAUAGAGCUAGAGACAGGAAGAGAGAUAAAGAGAGAGACAGGGACAGAGAAGAUAAAUAUAAGGAGAGGGAGAAAGAGAGAGAAGAGAAGAGGGAGAGGGCUAGGGAGAAAGAGAGGGAGAGGGAGAGGGAGCGAGAACGGGAGAAGAGGGAACGUGACAAGGAGGAGCAAGAAAAGGAGCGGAGGGAACGUGACAGAGAAGAACGAGAGAGAGCAAGGGAGAAGAGGGAGCGUGAGAGAGGGAGGGAGAAGAGGAUAAGGGAAAGGGAGAAACGUCAUGACGUUGACAGUGAUGAUACUGAUGGCUCUAGGGAUCAUGACAAGAAGCGGCACAGGAGGGAUGAUAAUGACGACGAGGAGAGAGAACGUGAACGUAGCAUUAGCAGGUCACAAAGGCGCAAGGAUGACACUGAAGAGAGCCCAAGAAAAAGAAGCAGUGAGGAUGACUCAGAUAAGAAAGAAAAAACCCGAGAAGAGGUAAUAGAGGAUGAACAACAGAAACUGGACGAGGAAAUGGAGAAGAGGAGGCGGAGAGUUCAAGAGUGGCAAGAGUUGAAGAGAAAGAAGGAGGAAUUUGAGCGAGAAAAGCAUGGGGAAGUGGAUGCAGAUGAACCCAAGGCUGGUAAGACCUGGACUCUUGAAGGAGAAUCGGACGAUGAGGAGGCACCUCUUGUAGGAAAAUCAGAGGCAGACAUGGACAUGGACGAGGAUGCUAGUACUGGUAAAGAAGUUGGAGACACAAUGGUGGUUGACUCUGAAAACGGGACAGCUGCACCUCUGCAAAACGGGGCUGAUAUUGUUGAUGGGGCUGAUGAAAUUGAUCCAUUAGAUGCUUUCAUGAAUACUAUGGUCUUGCCUGAGGUUGAAAAGCUAAGUAAUACUGUGGUUUCAUCAACUGUUGUUGGUAAUCAUAUGGAACCGGCAAAGGAGAGGAGGGAACAUAGUAGCAAUCGUGAAAGGCCAAAGAAAGGUUCCAAUAAAUCAUUGGGAAGAAUAAUUCCAGGUGAGGAUUCUGAUUCAGAUUAUGGGGACCUUGAGAAGGAUGAAAAUAAUUUAGAAGAUGAAGAUGAUGACGAGUUCAUGAAAAGAGUGAAGAAGACAAAAGUUGAGAAAUUAUCCCUUGUUGAUCACUCAAAGAUUGACUAUGAACCGUUCCGAAGAAAUUUCUAUAUCGAGGUGAAGGAGCUUGCAAAGAUGACUCCUGAAGAGGUUGCUGCUUACAGAAAAGAAUUGGAAUUGAAGAUUCACGGAAAGGAUGUACCAAAACCAGUGAAAUCAUGGCACCAAACAGGACUUCCAAGUAAAAUUUUAGAGACUAUAAAGAAGCUUAACUUUGAAAAUCCAACAGCAAUUCAAGCACAGGCGCUGCCAGUUAUUAUGAGUGGUCGGGACUGCAUAGGUGUUGCAAAAACUGGCUCUGGGAAAACUCUGGCAUUUGUGCUUCCAAUGUUGAGACAUAUAAAGGACCAGCCUCCUGUGGAAGCAGGAGACGGGCCUAUUGGGCUUAUAAUGGCACCUACAAGGGAGCUUGUCCAGCAAAUCCACAGUGAUAUAAAAAAGUUUGCGAAGGUAUUGGGUACUAGAUGUGUGCCUGUGUACGGCGGUUCUGGUGUUGCCCAACAGAUCAGUGACUUAAAACGGGGGACUGAGAUUGUUGUCUGUACUCCUGGUAGGAUGAUUGACAUUUUGUGUACUAGUGGAGGAAAGAUAACAAAUCUGCGUAGAGUCACCUAUUUUGUUAUGGAUGAAGCUGAUCGAAUGUUUGAUAUGGGUUUUGAACCUCAGAUCACACGAAUUGUCCAAAAUAUUAGGCCAAAUCGUCAGACAGUACUGUUUUCUGCCACUUUUCCUCGACAGGUUGAAAUUUUGGCUCGUAAAGUAUUGAGCAAACCUGUUGAAAUACAGGUUGGUGGGAGAAGUGUGGUGAACAAGGACAUAACCCAGUCAAUUGAGUUGAGGCCGGAGAAUGAGAGGUUCUUAAGACUUUUGGAACUAUUAGGUCAAUGGUAUGAGAAAGGAAAGAUUUUGAUAUUUGUCCACACACAGGAAAAAUGUGAUGCUUUGUAUAAGGAUUUAGUUGACCGUGGUUACCCUUGCCUUUCUCUUCAUGGGGCUAAGGACCAAACAGACCGUGAAUCCACCAUUUCUGACUUCAAAAGCAAUGUCAGCAGUGUUUUGAUUGCAACAAGUGUUGCAGCCAGGGGUUUAGAUGUGAAAGAACUCGAACUUGUGGUCAACUUUGAUGCUCCAAACCAUUAUGAAGAUUAUGUUCACCGUGUUGGUAGAACUGGCCGAGCUGGUCGUAAAGGUUGUGCCAUUACUUUCAUAUCUGAGGAGGAUGCUAGAUAUGCACCAGAUCUUGUAAAAGCUUUGGAACUUUCUGAGCAAGUUGUUCCUGGAGACCUAAAAGCUCUUGCAGAUAAUUUUAUGGCAAAAGUGAAUCAGGGGCUUGAGCAAGCUCAUGGAACUGGUUAUGGUGGAAGUGGCUUUAAAUUCAAUGAAGAGGAGGAUGAGAAGAGGAAAGCGGCAAAAAAAGCACAGGCAAAAGAAUAUGGUUUUGAGGAAGACAAGUCAGAUUCAGAAGAUGAAGAUGAAGGAAUCAGGAAGGCAGGUGGUGAUAUCUCGCAGCAAGCCACCCUUGCUCAGAUUGCUGCCUUUGCUGCUGCCUCCAAAGCCGGUACAGCUUCAAUGCAGACUCCUAUUACAACUACCCAAUUGCUACCCAAUGGUGGACUACCUGUUUCUCUGCCUGGAGUCUUAAACAUAGCAAUUCCCGGUACAGCUGCUGUUGUGCCUGGAACUGGGCUGCCUCUUAAUCCCAAUGAUGGGGCAGCUCGGGCCGCAGCAUUGGCAGCUGCUAUCAACCUGCAGCAUAAUUUGGCAAAGAUUCAGGCUGAUGCAAUGCCUGAACACUAUGAAGCAGAGUUGGAAAUCAAUGACUUCCCCCAAAAUGCUCGGUGGAAGGUCACUCACAAGGAAACAUUGGGUCCGAUCUCAGACUGGACUGGAGCUGCUAUUACGACCAGGGGGCAGUAUUUCCCUCCAGGCCGGGUCACAGCACAAGGAGAGCGCAAGCUUUAUUUGUUCAUUGAGGGUCCCACUGAGCAGUCUGUUAAGAGAGCAAAAGCAGAAUUAAAACGUGUUCUAGAAGACAUUACAAACCAGGCCUUGUCACUUCCAGGUGGAGCUCAACCAGGCAGAUACUCGGUUGUAUAAGUGGAUGAUUUAAGCCUAUGCUGGCAUAUCCAAUGUAUUCUCUGCCCAUUGCCUUUGGCUGAUGAAGAGGUGGCGAUCUGAUCCAAUCAAAUUUACUUGGGUGUGUUGUUUGCAGAGAUGGAGCCAUUCCAACAACCACCCUGAUAGUGGGAGCAAACCUUCUUAAAGGUCUAAAAGGGCCAGCUGGAAUCCAGAAGUCUCUUACAAUCGGCAUUGUAGCUGCUCGUUACAUUGCUUUGCCUCUGACUGGCAACUUAGUUGUUAAAAGGGUCACUGCAUUUUGGUUUGUUGCAGGCUGAUCCUUUGUAUGAAUUUAUUCCCCUGCUUCAGUUUGCAGUUCCACCUGCCAUGAAUAUUGGAACCAUGACACAGUUGUUUGGAGCGGGAGCGAGUGAAUGUUCUGUUAUUAUGCUAUGGACUUACGCCUUGGCUUCAAUCUCUUUCAACUCUUUGGUCAACCUUCUUCAUGUGGCUGGUGGCUUGAACUAGUUAGGCAGGAGAUGGAGUCAAUUCACCCAACAAUAGCAGCAUAUGCAACAAACGAAGAACGAACGAUAUGGAUUCACAAAAGUCGACUUAGUUGCAGAGUUUGUUCCUCCCCACUUUUUGUUAGGGUUGUAGAGAACGUUAGAAAUGCAGUAGGGAUACAAUGGAAUGGACGAAUGAAGAAAAUCAGCCUUUAGGAUACGUCAUUAGGAGAAAAAAGGGAUGUAAGUAAUCAAGAUUUUGAUACCAUUUUUUGCAAAUGUAAAAGGUAUGUAAGUGAUAGAUAGGUGGACUGGUUUGUUGUAUACAGAGUCACCAAUCCAGAAAAUGUAUUGGCAAGUGUAAACAGUAAAUGAACUCAUGGGUCAUAAGCCUUCAUGUUUAGUACCUUUUGUUCUUCCAAUUAUAAUCUCAACUCUCACCUCUCAAAUAAAAAUAAGUAAAUAACUGUAUAUAAUUCCAAUCACAAAAUUAAGAAACGCUCUCUAAUUGCAAAAUGAAACAUUGACACACACUGGGGUUUGGCGUAAACAAAAUUUGAUCCUAAUGAAAACUCAAAAUACAGUCGUCUGGUCACUCUCUCACAGAAGGAAGUUUUGCAAUUAUAUCUUCUAGGAAAAAGAAAAUGAAAAGCUUGACCAAUACACCAACAGUUGAAGAUACAAUAAAUUAGCGCAUAGAGGGUGCCAAAGGACAAUCAACUCUGGAAAUUAUUUAGAAAAAGAAAAGCUUGACCAAUACACCAACAGUUGAAGAUACAAUAAAUUAGUGCAUAGAGGGUGCCAAAGGACAAUCAAUUCUGGAAAUUAUUU